AAUGGAGGUAACUCUGACCCAGCCAUGCCGCGUGCAGGAAGACUGCCUAUGGGUUGUAAACUGCUUUUAUACAGGAAGAACACUGCUACGUGUAACAGCUUGACGGUACUGUAAGAAUAAGGACCGGCUAACUCCGUGCCAGCAGCCGCGGUAAUACGGAGGGUCCGAGCGUUAUCCGGAAUCAUUGGGUUUAAAGGGUCCGCAGGCGGUCAAUUAAGUCAGAGGUGAAAUCCCAUAGCUUAACUAUGGAACUGCCUUUGAUACUGGUUGACUUGAGUCAUAUGGAAGUAGAUAGAAUGUGUAGUGUAGCGGUGAAAUGCAUAGAUAUUACACAGAAUACCGAUUGCGAAGGCAGUCUACUACGUAUGUACUGACGCUCAUGGGCGAAAGCGUGGGGAGCGAACAGGAUU
rnacentral:rRNA from 1 species